rnacentral:lncRNA from 1 species
AUAAAUUACAAAAACUAAUUUAUUACUUCUAGUCUUUAUAUUCCUACAACCUCUCCUGAAAUGGUCGUCAUUAUCAUUCGUUCUCCUGAUUGGAGAGUUCGUGUCUUACAUGCUCCGAGGGAAGCAAAUUUGUGUGUUGAUUCUUUAGCUGCUUGAGAUCACUCUACCUUUCCCUGGUUACUAUGGUAGAUGUUUCUUUUCUUUUGUUAGACUCUUUUUUGUUACAAGACUCUAGGUGAACUUGUUCCUAGGGUGCCUUAGUCAUAGAAAGGUAAUUGAGCAAUCAAAUUUCAAGCAAAUUUUUCUCAAGCUUGUGACCCAAGAAAAUACAACAGUAACAGAUGAAGGAAGUACUGCAGGAGCAGGAUGAUCCUAGUCCUUUAUUGAAUCUCAAAGCAUGAUUUGAUAAUCCUAAAAUGAUCAUGAUUAUUCAAAAUUUAUUCAUAAUAUAAAAGUACUUAUGAAGCUUUUGGGAGAAGAGAUUGAGGAUAAACUAGUGAAUAUAUGGCUCUAAGAUUCUUGACUGGACUUAAAACUAUAAAUAGGAUUUUGAUAAUGCAUUAGUCAAUAUAGUGAUUACUAAGAUUUAUGAAAUGAUUAUGAAAUACCAGAAAACCAAUAGUCCUCUCUAUGAAGUUGAAGUUUGAUAAUAAUUUAUAAUCAUGAUUGGUUUUAAUUAUUCCUUGUAUUAUUUAUGUACCACGAAAAUAGUUCAUACAACUAACUAUAUAGGCCUAAAUGCAUAUCAAGGGGAAAAAGCAUAUAUAUAUGACUAUAUAUAUAUAUAUAUAUCUGCAGCAGCAUAUCAGACAUUUCAUGUGAAUGUUAUAGUCGAAAAUAAGGGAGGGCUUUAUAUCCAUCAAGCCCUUUGGACCUGAAGUGAGUAAGAUAUUCAGUGAUAUUUGUUUCUCGAUAUUUUGCUGGAUUUUCAUCGGAUGUAAACUCUUCUAUAGGCCUAUAUUUUUUAAACGCAUUGGGGUACACGUGGCAAGCAACUGAUGCCCUUGGUCCAACACUUCCAGCAACUACUCUAUGCUCAACACUUUUGAACUUGUCAUUACUGAUAAGCUACACAAACAAGAAAAUCAC